rnacentral:pre_miRNA from 1 species
GAUUUCAGCUAAAAAAGUCAUCAACAACAAAAUUAUAUAACUCAUUAAGAUCUAUAACUUUUAUUUUGGUUAUUUCUUCAUCCGACAAAGUGAUAAUAACAUUUUUCAAAAAAUGUACAUAUCUCUCUUAUAGUUUACAAAACUAUAUAAGAGAUAUGUAUAUUUUGUGAACAAUGUUACAAAUCGCUUUAUCGGAUAAAGAAAUGAUCAAAAUAAAAGUCACAGAUCUUGAUGAGUUAUACCACUUUGUUGUUGAUGACCUUUUCAGUUGAAAUC